rnacentral:misc_RNA from 1 species
GUACUGCGAUACGUAGUGUGAUACGCAACCCAGUGUGAAUCAUCGAAUCUUCGAACGCACCUUGCGCUCUCGGGUUGACCGUGAGCAUGCCUGUUUGAGUGUCGUCCUAACAAACAACACCAACCUAUCGGUUGGUGACCUGAGGCCUGCGUCCCACCACCUGCCGGAUGGUGGGUCCCUCGAAGAAGCGAUCCGCUCGUCGCUCUGCGACGCCAAAAGCAGAAAGCCGCUGAAACCGGAAGUCAAUUUCAGGUUUCACCAUACAUAGCGGGGUUUCUCCUCAGCGUGGAUCCCUCUUGGUUCCACCGACAAGGUGACGCAACCCAUGCGACCUCAAAUCAGGCAAGACCACCCGCUGAACUGAA